AGAGGGCUAGAGGCCCAGUCCGUCUAGUGUCUUCUACUGUCGGAACUCAGAGCAUCAGCUAGGUACAGCAAUGGCGAAGGGGAUAAAAUUGCUACGAUGCCUUCGGCCGCUCACCCCCCACCCCAGGCCGGAGACGUGUAGUUCGGCCGGCAUAUCCCGGCGGCAGCGCAAGCGGCAGCUCGUAGCUGGAGGUGGCUGACCCGGAUGCUGCAGGCCCGCGUGUAAUUUCUGUGUGGCCUGCGUUUCGGGCCGUCGACCACGACCGCAGCGGCAGCAUCGACGAGCAGAAGCUACAGGACGUGUUCGGGGCCAUCGGCUGCGGCCGCAUCGGCAACAUCAACGAGUGGGAGCGGCAUGACGAACGGGGGGCGCAGGACGCCGGACGCGUUCCAGACCGUCAACCGCGACGUCAGCGGCAACAUCGACGAGCGAGAGCUGUAGGACGAACGGGAGCUUCAGGACGCGUCACAGAUGGGAGGAGUCCAAAUAGGAGAUCAUUUGCAUCUUUUGCAGAACAGCAUACACCUUCGAUGAGCGGCAGAAGAAUGAGAGGGGGAUGCUAGGAAAUCGAGUCCAAAAGGGAGAUCAUGGGCGUAUACCUUGGACGAGCGGGAGAAGCAGGCGGAGCAAUGGAGGUCAAACAGAUCGCUCUUUGGCGUUCUACAAUCUGUGAUCUGUGCGUCCUGUUUGGCGCCAAUUCUUUAGGCUUAGGAGAUUUUCCCUCCACGGGAGUAUUAAUAUGUAGUUUGUUUCCAAAUUACCAGCGCAGUUUGAGGGGAGGAAAGAGAGCCAUCGAGUGAUUUUUUUCAGGAAAACACUUCGGGUAACCAUACCCAUACGAUUAGAACGAAGGACGGAUUCUAAUAGCUAAAGCACAUGUGCUGUGACAACUCAACUGUAGAGGAGCCGAGCCCUAGUUUGUGUCAACACUUGGAUUAGAUUUUAUACAAUGUAAACGAAUAUUGAUAGCUGUGUCAUAUGAUUUGAAAAGUUUGACAAAUUUUU